AGAAAGCCCUCAUAGUUUAAUGUUCGCUUAAGGACUUCAGCAUCUACAAGUUCAGAGAUGGACCAGGACAGAAGUGGUAAAAGCAGUGAGGUGAGAAUUGGUCACUCUCUAAAUGAAGCAG